UUUUUAUUUUAUUAUAACAAUUGUUUUUAGCUUCCAGAAUCUUUUUUUUAUGAUUUUCCAGUAAUUGGCUUUUUUUCAAAUUGGGAAUUUAGUGUAUUUAGGCCUGUAUUGCUGAACUGGUGUCAUCCAAAAGACAGAAACAAUUACAACGGUCAUUCCUUAAAUAUUUUCAAAACUUUGAAAGUAAGCAGUAUUUACUGUUAUCACUUACAAAAUGUAUAUUUGAACGUAGCACAUUCAAUCUAUUUGAAUGGGUUACCAUUUGCUCUGCUUAAUUUCACGCAUUGUUACCAACAGAUUGUAUCGUUUCCCUUAAUUCAAUUUCACGAAUUUCACAUUGGUGUUUAAAUUCUUCAUUUUUUCAUCAAGUUCUGCUUUCACUGUAUGGACAAGCUAAGUGAAAUUCUUCCUCUGGUGUAUUUCUUGUGAAAACGUCUCUUCCAUGCAUAUUCAAAAUGUAGCAAUGUCCUGUUUCAUCGUUUCUAAGGCUUCAUUUAUUUUGUAUUCUACUGUUGAGUUGAUCAUCUCCCGUAAUGGCAUUUCUGGUCUGAACAAGGUGUUCAUCAAUUGUCUCUUGGUGUUCUGACCUCUCGAGGUCCACACAGUUUUUAGUAUUCUUCACUUUUCAUCAAGAUCUGCUUUCACAGUAUGGAUAAGCUAAGCUAAGUAUUCAUGUGAAAAUAUCUCUUCCCUCUACCUUGCCUAUCCACAAUGUAGCGAUGUCUUGUCUCAGAGUUUCUAAGUCUUUGUUUAUUUUGCAUUCUAUUAUUGUUAAGGUGAUUAUCUCCUGUAAUGGCAUUUCUGUUGACUGAACAAUAUGUGAACUAAUGUUGGUUGUAUCUACUAUUGCAUUUAGUGGCGUCCCUCUGUUGUUAAGUACUGGAACAACAAACUUUUCUAAAUCCUCCCAUGCCUAUCUGCAAUGUAGUAAUGUCCUGUUUCAUUAUGUCUAAUUCUUCAUUUGUUUUGCAUUCUACUGUUGAGUUGAUUAUCUCCCGUAAUGGCAUUUCUGUUGACCGAACAAUAUGUGAACUAAUGUUAGUUAUAUCUACUAUUGCAACUAGUUGCGUUCCUCUGUUGUUAAGUAUGUUGUCCACAUGAUUUUAUAAAUUUUUCACUUUUCAUUAAGGUCUGUUUCCACAGUAUGGACAAGAUAAUGAUACGUGCAAUUCUUCCUCGUGUAUUUUAUGUGAAAACAUCUCUCCCAGGUUUAUCCACAAUGUUGCAAGGUUUUUUGUGUCUGAAUCUUCGUUUAUUUUGCAAUCUACUGUUGAGUUGAUUAUCUCCCGUAAUAGCAUUUCUGUUGAAACAUCUCUCCCCUGGCUAUCCACAAUGAGCAAUGUUCAAGUUUAAAUUCUUCAUUGUAAACUCUCAAUAACAUAUAGUGUAACAUGAGGAAUUAACUUCAUAUAUUCAAAUAUUUGUGCCUUAACAUUUUGAAUUGUAGUGGAAACAUUUCAUUGCAAAAGAGUAUAAAACAUAACACCAUUUUUUUGCUGUUUCUUAACACAUGUAUUUUUUUUUUCAGAGAAGAUUUAAUGCAUAAAUUAUUAAUUAUUUAAUGUAUGUUAGAUAUACAUUAGUAGAUAUAUAUAUAUUUAUAUAUUACAAGAUCUUAUUAAACUCCUGAGGUCCAUUAAAAUUUUAAAGGUUUUAAAUCUUCGUUAAUUGAUGUUCUUUCCCAAGGGUGACUGGGGAAACGAAAUAUGGUCACUUCAAGAGCAACAACAGCUUUCUUUUGUAAACUAUCUUUAAAAGGAGAGGAGACGUCAAAGUUUGCUUCAAACACGUGCGUCGCAAAGUGGUAAAUGAAUUCUGUAUGUGACAUUUAGAAGAAGCCAUUUAACCAUAUCAUUUUGUCAAACAAUUCAAUAAACACCUUUAUUAAUUAGUCCUUUGUUGUCGAUAGCUAUAAAAUGCAAUCAGCUGAUUAUUGAUUUUCUGUCCAAAUCUUAAUUAGGUCAAGGUGAAUUCUGAGUAUUGUCUGACCGGAUAAAGACCGAGCAACUCGAAAAAAAGUAAAUAAACAAUAUGGAGGAAAAUAAAUCAUUAUAUAUAUUUCUUUCGCCAAAUUCUUUCGCAAAUGACGAAUUUUUAUCGCCACAAUUAUUAUUUUUUCGCAAAUUGCGAAAAUGGCGACCGCCAGCGGAAACCCUGGUCACUUGGUCUUCUCCCGUCCGGCAGUAAAUUGCUUGCCAAAGUGGGGCGUCCGUUUGGCUGUACGGGAUGUAUCAAGUUUGCAGCCACGUCCGGUCAGAAUGGGGACGUUAAACCGAUGUCUCGUGUAAAGGGAGUGCCACGCCAUUUGCACGUUAAGAACCCUUGCAACAACUCUUUGAGGGGUCCUUAGGUGGCCUGUUGCAAGGCAAAAUUUCUGUCCCUAUCCUAUAUACCCUCAUUUCCCAGUGGCAGUCCAAACUUCCCGACCAUCAUCUCCGAUGACCUUUAUCAUUACAGGACCUACCUGUUGUAUUUAUUGGUAACUUGUUCUCGUCCUGAAUGUGCAUGAAAUAUUUGCCCCUUGACGUUAAACAACCAACAAUCAAUCAACCAAUUGCUGUUCUAAACGGACACCUGUUAAAAAAAUAUAGCCUGAUUAAAGGACCAGCUGAACACUGCCUUUGGAUGUGGAUUUUCUCACUGUUGAAGACCCAUUGGUGACCUUCGCCUGUUAACUGUUCUUUGGAGGGGUUGUUGUCUCUGACAUAUUCCCCAUUUCAAUUAUCAAUUUUAUAUUCAUUUAGUCUUAGAUAUUGGGAAUUUUCACAGUCUGCAGAACAUAACACAUGCUGAAGACAGUUGAUAUGAUACUGAAGUAAGAAAACAUUCCACUUAAUAUUAAGAAGCUUUUAUAAAAUAUUGUAUGAUUUCUGUAAUGUUCUGAGUUACAAGAUUAAGAAAAUAAAACUUUCAUAAUUCAGGAAUGACUUUAAAAAAAAAAAAUCAGUCUACGAAGAACUUACAUAAAAAAUGUGGUGCACACUGAAUAACAUAUGCAGUGGCUUCUUUUAAAAUGUGUACCACAUUUUUGAUGUUAUUUCGAAUAGUCAGAAUAAAUAUUGCAGUCAUUCCUUAUAAUUUAAUUCUAAAUUUCAUUUUAAGCCAGAGUAAAUCAUGAAAAAACGUUGAUGAUGUCGCAGUCACAUGUCAAAAUUAUGUCUAUUACCCGACAGAUAAAAACACUGUCAGCCAAUCAGCAGGCACGUUACAUCCAAUAUUAAAUUAUUACUUGAUAAUUUAUUUUUUCAUCAAUCAUAAAGAUAUUUUUGCUCAACAAUAUUUCAUUAAAUAUGUAUAUCCAAUUAUAAUAUUUUUGAAACACCAUAUUAAAUCAUAGUAGAAACAGUGACGACGAUAUUAACAUUAAUCUGUGCAAUAAACAUGAUAUAAAUAUAGAAACGUAUUUUAUAAAGAUAACAAUGUUAAAACUUUUGUAAAAAGUAUUCUUUACUUUGAGAUGAGUGAUGUAGCCAUAGAAAUAAUUAAUGUUCUGUGAUAGUAUGUUGUUAUGUGUAUUGGUGUUUAACUGCAGGUAAUAACUUUAUAACUGCUG
rnacentral:lncRNA from 1 species